AACACACAUUUAUAUGUCCGACUCUCUCACUCUCAGCUAUAGCCUUCACCACGGGCCACAACCACCAACCCAACACCUACCACCACCACACCCACUAUUGCAACAACCUUUAAGAACCAAACUAUCACCGUCCACCGCCAAUGAAACCCCACCAAAACCCUAACCACAUCUUCAACUUGCCGCCGCAUAUGGUUAGAUCUGAUCGGAUUUCAUGCCAGUUGCAGGCUUUGAAACGAGAAGGAUGGUCAGAUAUCACAGUUCUUAUCCUGAUUGUAUAAAUCAAAUGCUUCACUGAGUUGAUGCCUAUCGGCUACGGAGAUAGCGUUUCAGCAGCGUAGAUGGGUGUUGAUGUCUUCCGACGCGGUGACGGAGAUGAUGUUGUGAAGAAGAAUAACAGUGAUGGGUGGCGAUUAGGUAAGAGGUUUUGUUUUUGUUAGGGUUUCUUCUAUAUCUGCAUAUUAGGUCAGACUUUAGAGAUUUGGGGGAUUUCUUUCAAUGGUGGGUACAGUGGAUUAGCUUAGACUUUAGAGAUCCUCAAAGUGAUUUUGUUGAACGGUUGUGUUUUAGGCUACAUGGCACCCGAAUGGGUAUUCAAGCUUCCAAUCACAUCGAAAGUCGAUGUGUACAGCUACGGCGUGGUGGUUUUGGAGAUGAUAACGGGUCGGGGUCCAGGAGGGAAGAAGCAAGGGACUGGUGAAAAUGGUGAGAUAGAGCGUGGGGUGGUCAAGUGGGUGAGGGAUAGGGUGAGAGAUGGUGGUAACGGAAGUGGUUCGGAAUCUUGGGUUGACAAUGUCGUAAGUGGUUCGAUACGUGGCGAGUUUGAGCGGGAGAUGAUGGAAAACCUGGUUAGAAUUGCAUUGAAAUGUGCUGAGGAUGAUAUGCAGGUCUGACCCACAAUGAAUCAAGUGGAUAACAUGCUUCUACAUCUAGAAAACGAAGGAUAGUAUAUGUAGUUCUACUUUCUAGUGUCAAAAUAUUACAUAAGAUGUGUGUUUUUCAUUGUCAAAAUAUAAUUACUAUAUAUUAACAAUUGACGUCAAGCCUUAUCUACAGUGCCAAAGGGCACUUUAGGCAUUUCUUGUGUAGACGGUUCUUGAUGCGAGAGAAAGACAGCAGAAAGGAGAGGGGAGUCGCGAGAUAGAGAGAGGAAGAGAGAGAGAGAGAGAGAGAAACUCAGAGAAAAACCCCCGGUUACAUAUCCGGGUCGUGCUACACAUCAAUAGACGGUACAGAGGAUGGCGAUCCUCAUAGUGGUGUUCGUUUCCCUGUUUGUGAAACGGUGAUGGUUCAAUUGACACCACACGCCCGUUGGAUAGGGUUUAUAACUCAGAGGGGGAGAACAACAUUGGGAUAACGUGUCUAAACAUGAGGAGAAAAAAGCAUAGAGGAUGGCAAAAAACCUAAAUUCCGGCGUGAAUUGGUCGUUUUCUUCUAUUGGAUUGUUUUUUUUCUUUGAUUUAUUUAUGUUGCCUAGGAUCUCUGUUCGUGAGUUCAUCUUUGAUUUCUGUUCGCCUUCUUCGUUGGUGUUCUUCGAUUAACAAUCAGGUGUCUAUUCGUGAGACUUGAUGGGCUUUUAUUUGAGGGUAGUUCAAUUGCUUGCUAUGGUGAUGGAUAAUGGAGGGCCAAAACCGAGCAAUGGAUUGACUUUUCUUUAUUUGAGUUUGAAGCACAUAUUAGACGUUGGUUAUAUCCAAGAUUGAGAUAUGGCAAUUACAUUAGACAUGUUAGUGGCUCCUUUUGUUUUUCUUUCAUUUCCCAUAUUCACAUUAGACAUGUUAGUGGCUCCUUUUGUUUUUCUUUCAUUUCCCUUAUUCUAUCUAUAAGGUUAAAGAUAACUCUAUUUUUGGUUUGAA